rnacentral:tRNA from 1 species
GGUUAUGGCUCAGCGGUAGAGUGCUUGCCUAGCACGUGCAAGGCCCUGGGUUCAAUCCUCAGCACCA